rnacentral:lncRNA from 1 species
AAGCGCAUGUAAAUGUACCACAAUACAGCCACUAUUGUCUUCUUAUUAAAGCGCUCAAUCCUCGCCUCCGCUGAUGUCAUCUUCACGAACGACGGCAUAUAUCUGCAUAUCAAAGGAUCACAACAAAUCAUUGUUUAGGCAGGAAAACAUAGUUGUGAGCAUGUUACGUACAAUGACGGCUGUAGGUGUAACACCGGCGUAACGUGCCACGAAAUAAGGCAAUAAAAAGCAUUUAGUUAAUAGCCAUGGUCUUGCAACCAGAGGCUUCAUACCUCCGAACGGCCGCUUCGUGGCCUGCCACGUCCCGUUUGAGCCCGACUCUUGUUCAUAUCCUUACCACCAUCCUUGCGCUUGUCCUAUUCCUUGCGAUUCUCCUGCUCGUGUCCUUGGAAUGUAAAAUGACAAGGCAUAAUGUCAGUGUAUGCACCUGCAUGAUGGCCACUUACUGCCGGUGGCGUCUAGUCCCCCUUUUCCUGCUUUCCCCUGCUUGCCUGCGAAUGAAUGCUGCGCCAUUAUAAAGACAGAUUCUUGUUAAGCAGCCCCUCGCACAAAUGUGUCCGGUCGUACUUCGCGAAUAAAAGGUCCGUACAUCACGCCCCAAAAGCCAGGAGCGAAUUUCACCGCGCGGGUGCGCGCGUGCGAUUCGCAAAAUGCGCGUGUACAAGUGUAUAUAAAUUUUCUUAGAAGAAAGGCCN